GUUUGCAUGUCUGCAUUUUUUACUGCUCCGUUUAAUAUGUAUGCAAAUGCCGGCCGGCUGCGCCCGCCGCGCGGCUGCACAGUCACACGCGGCGCCCCAUUAAAGCGGCCGUCCCGGGCGCGCGCCUCAUUCGAGGCGACGGGCUCCGGGCCCUGAUAGAUGGGGUGCGGGGACGGAGACAAAUGACGGCCUUUGGGCUCGGAAUACCCACCUUUCUGGUAAUGCAGCCCAGCGGGUCCCAGCCUCGUUUUCCAGCCCUCACUCAAAAUGGAGUCGCUCUGGUUCGAACGCCUCUGACAAGUGUGUACCUACGUGUCAGGCCCAUCCUUCCUGCAGGCCUUUGUCUUGGUGUCACCCUGCCUGAGCUGGCCCCAACCACAGUAGCAACAGUGAUGCUGAUGUGUGACUGCUGCCAGGAGCCUGCUCACAUGACCGUGUGGAGAAAGUUCUUUCCCUGAGGACCAUCUGGAGUGGACGCGUGCACUACCCCUCUCUGAAUACACCCUCCCCACGAGGCCCUCUGGAGCAUCCUGUAGAGCCAGCCCCUACCCAGAGACCCUGAGCCCAGAGAAUGCGCUGGGUGGUGAGCCUGGGGACGAAUGCAGAGCCCUAGGUCUCCUCUCCAGAAGUUGGAGUGCCAUGGUGUGGUCAUAGCCCACUGAAGCCUCAAACCUCUGGGCUGAAGCCAUCCUUCCGCCUCAGCCUCCCAAGUAGCUGGGACCAUAGGUGCAUGGCACUGUGCCUGGCACUGUCUGAAUGCAUACAGCUGCGUAGCAUCGUGGUAAGAACACCCGCCCUGACAUCACACAGACCUGCAUCCACGUCCCAGCUGAGCCUCAGUUCUCACAUCUGCAAAAUGGGGAGAACAACAGCAGCAGCGUCCUGAGGCUGGGGUGAGGACCGAGUGAAAAACCUUUGUCGCAUCUUUGGGCAUCGCAGGAGUUCAAUAAAUGUUAGCUAUCGUUGUCACUUUGUAUUAUCCAGCCCAGUCUGGCCCGUUGUAAUCACCUCCUGACCUGUGUCUGGGAGCUCACAGCUCCAAGCAGCAA
rnacentral:lncRNA from 10 species